rnacentral:misc_RNA from 1 species
GGAGCUCGAAGUCCCGAUACGUCGCGCUGGCCUUAAGCUAAGGGCAGAUCGGAUCUAGGCGAGCGAGUUGACGUACCAGUCCGCGAGGCCGACCUGGUCCUCGUAGAUGGCUGUGGUGAGGGCAACAAGGGAGGCGAAGACUAGGAGCCCGGAGAGAAGGACAAGGAGGGAGCGGCGCGGUGGCGCCGCCAUCGCGGCGGAGAAGCGGGGCACGGAGUCGAGCUCCGAUCUGACGGCGGCGGAGGGAAGCGUCGUUUACUGUUUGGUGUUGGGGCGAGUCACCGAGGAGUUUAUUUGGGACUUGGAAGUUAUGCUGGGGCGGGUUCCAGAGCGGGCCCACGUGAUGGCUCGACCAACUCGUGCCGGGGAUCCGGUCAUCCGGGUGCCCUCGGGACGAGAUCUCAACGAGCACUUCGAUUUCG